rnacentral:snoRNA from 2 species
GAGCUAUGAUUAAACCCUGUGCUUAUGUGACUGGUUGGGUCCGUCACAGCUGACUGAUCUCAUGAUUAGCACUCAGCACUUAUGAGCUC